AAUCAACGCUGGCGGCGUGCCUCAGACAUGCAAGUCGAACGCGAAAGUUUCCUUCGGGAAGCGAGUAGAGUGGCGUCCGGGUGAGUAACACGUAGGUAAUCUACCUUUGGGUGGGGAAUAACAACCGGAAACGGUUGCUAAUACCGCAUAAUGCAGCGGCACCACAUGGUGACAGUUGUUAAAGCGGGGGAUCGCAAGACCUCGCGCCUAAAGAGGAGCCUGCGGCGGAUUAGCAGUUGGUAAGGUAACGGCUUACCAAGGCAACGAUCCGUAGCCGGCCUGAGAGGGCGGUCGGCCACACUGACACUGAAAUACGGGUCAGACUCCUACGGGAGGCAGCAGUCGGGAAUUUUGGGCAAUGGGCGAAAGACCUGACCCAGCAACGCCGCGUGAAGGAUGAAA
rnacentral:rRNA from 1 species